AGAUUGAACGCUAGCGGGAUGCUUUACACAUGCAAGUCGAACGGCAGCGCGGACUUCGGUCUGGCGGCGAGUGGCGAACGGGUGAGUAAUAUAUCGGAACGUGCCCAGUAGCGGGGGGAUAACUACGCGAAAGCGUGGCUAAUACCGCAUACGCCCUACGGGGGAAAGGGGGGGAUCGCAAGACCUCUCACUAUUGGAGCGACCGAUAUCAGAUUAGCUAGUUGGUGAGGUAAAGGCUCACCAAGGCGACGAUCUGUAGCUGGUUUGAGAGGACGACCAGCCACACUGGGACUGAGACACGGCCCAGACUCCUACGGGAGGCAGCAGUGGGGAAUUUUGGGACAAUGGGCGAAAGCCUGAUCCAGCAAUGCCGCGUGCAGGAAGAAGGCCUUCGGUUGUAAACUGCUUUUGUACGGAACGAACGGUACUGCUUUAAUACAGUGGACUAAUGACGUACGUAAGAAUAAGCACGGCUAACUACGUGCCAGCA
rnacentral:rRNA from 1 species